CCUACGGGAGGCAGCAGUGAGGAAUAUUGGUCAAUGGACGCAAGUCUGAACCAGCCAUGCCGCGUGCAGGCUGACGGCUCUAUGAGUUGUACCCUGCUUUUGUCCUCGGGUCCCCCCCGCUCCGUGUAUCGGGUUGAAAGUAUCGUACGAAUACGGAUCGGCUAACUCCGUGCCAGCCGCCGCGGUAAUACGGCGGAUCCGCGCGUUCUCCGGCUUUCUUGGGUUUACAGGGUGCGUCGGCGGUUUGAUAAGUUAGAGGUGACAUGUCGGGGCUCAACCCCGCAACUGCCUCUCCUACUGUUGGACUAGAGAAUAGUUGCGGUAGGCGGAAUGUAUGGUGUAGCGGUGAAAUGCUUAGAGAUCAUACAGAACACCGAUUGCGAAGGCAGCUUACCAAACUAUAUCUGACGUUGAGGCACGAAAGCGUGGGUAGCAAACAGGAUUAGAUACCCCAGUAGUC
rnacentral:rRNA from 1 species